AUACAUUUCUCCUUCUUUUGACUAAGAUCAAGCAUUGUAUGUGUUCUUAUGAGUUUAAUAUUUGAUACGUUGAUCAUUCAUUGGCUCACACGAUAUUAAAUUAGUUUUUUUUAGAGGAGGGCCCAUUGCAGUAGCUUGCUACUGGGGCUUUCUUGUGUUGCCCUACUAUUAUUGUGUUGGCCUGGCCCACCCACU